rnacentral:rRNA from 1 species
GAAUCAACGCUGGCGGCGUGCCUCAGACAUGCAAGUCGAACGAGAAAGUCCCCUUCGGGGGAUAAGUAAAGUGGCGCACGGGUGAGUAACACGUAGGUAAUCUACCUUCGGGUGGGGAAUAACCCAGGGAAACUUGGGCUAACACCGCAUAAUGCAGCGGCACCACAUGGUGACAGUUGUUAAAGCGGGGGAUUUUUCGGACCUCGCGCCUGAAGAGGAGCCUGCGGCGGAUUAGCUAGUUGGUAAGGAACGGCUUACCAAGGCAACGAUCCGUAGCCGGCCUGAGGAGGGCGGUC